UAGGUGCUCUACAUGUAUGAAGUUAUUUAAUACUUUUAACAACUUUAUGAGAAUGCUGAAAGAAUGAAAUGGACGCAUGUCAGCCCAAAGACAUAAAGCAGAAAGAAACCACUUCAUGUUCAGAAGCAUGUCCUAGAAGACAACUGCUAAAGACAAGGGAGUAGUAAAGAAAAGAAAAAAAAAAAAAAAAAAGAAGGAAAAAAAAGUCUUCAAAGCAAAUGAAAAGAAACAGACAGUUCUUCAAAACAAGAGAGGAAAUUGGAAAAAGAACAUUUGUGGAAGAAAAAAAGCAUGUGGAAUUUCUCUAAACAGAAGAUGGAAUGAUCCAUUUUACCUGAAGAGAGUGGAAGGAUCAAGGAAAGUGGCACAAUGGACUUCAGUGACCACUAACCAACAUGGAUUACAGCGUGAGCAUGUGGUACAGAAACCACAAGUUGUCAAACCUGCAAAUCAUAAUUUGGUCAGUAAGAAUCUAGGAUCCUGAAGAAGACAUGAAGAGAAAUGACUCUUUAAAAUUGAAGUAGGAGCAAUCAUUACCUCUAUCAUUUUGAACCAAAAAGGUCUUACUCUAUGUAAUGUUAGUGCAAAAGAUGAAAAUCGUUUCACUUUCUGCAGUUCCAGUUACCCGAGGUCACCCAUGGUCCUAAAGUUG